rnacentral:lncRNA from 1 species
CAUGAUACUACAUUCAUCCAUCCAACAAGAAAUGAUGCUAAGCAUUCAUUCAUCCAAAGAGACAUAAUAAUAAAUAUUCAUACAACCAAAGGAAUAUGAUAAUAAACAACCUCAUUCAUAUACACCAAAAUAGAGGUUACAAGAGUCAUAAAGAGCAUAAAGCUUUCAUACAUCUAAUCUAUAAAAUAUAACUAAGUAAUCUAAUACAAAAUAAAAUUAGGGAGACUGGGCAUCGAGCACGAGAUCGAAAAAGAAGGGACAUGACCAGCCUCAUUCACGAUCGAAGGAUCUGGUCUGAGAAGAAGAAAAAGCUG